AGGACCAGGAGGAUUUCCAGGAAUCACCAUGUAAUAAUAGUGAGGGUCAUAGUGCUGGUCAACAUAUACUGCCUGUACACACUACAGAUGAUAAUGACUCUAGCUCAAGAGAUUCUGAAGCAAGCACAAAUUCAUUGAAAGAUAAGAGGAAAGUAGCUGUAGCACGACAAAAAAA